GGCCGAACCACCCGCCACCGGACCCUCGGGGACCUGGGCCCUCGGGGACCAGCGCCGGCAGCCUGGCCGCCGGCCUGGGACGGACGAGGAGGACUUGGUCCUCGCCAGCGCCAUGUGGCAUCUGAGCAGCCCCUCGGAGCCCGUCUGAACUCUCGGCGGGGAAGGCGACCGCCGGCGGCCUUACCGCCUGGGGACCGCGGGGCCACCGGGUCCCCGCCCUUUGUGGUGCAAAUGAGGAGCGCGCGGGGGCUCUGGGGGCGGCGCUCGCCACGGACCAAGUUUGCCUUCGGCCUCCCCCACACUUCCUUCGCACUCUGAGUCCAGCGUGGUUGGUCACCUCCCUCCGGGAACGCCGCCAGCGUAGAGGAAUGCUGAGGAAGGACUUGCCCUUAAGGGUCGCCAGUGCUCCAAACCUGCAGUGCCGUGAUGGAUAAAGGAUGAAUGAUCGCUUUUGGAAAAUCACUGCAUUUAGAUGCAAAUACCUAGUGAACCAUAAACCACCGAAACUCCCCCGCGCCUGCUCACAGUUGCAGGGUGAUAUGCCUCAAGAUCCUUCCUGCACAUGAAUGUUCACGUAGCAACGACCUGUGGGAAAUAAGUACUAACACCACCCAUUAAAGGUGUGAACUUGG